GACGAACGCUGGCGGCGUGCCUAAUACAUGCAAGUCGAACGAGAGCAGCCGGUGCUUGCACUGGUCAAACUAGUGGCGAACGGGUGAGUAACACGUGGGUAACCUGCCCAUCAGAGGGGGAUAACAUCCGGAAACGGAUGCUAAAACCGCAUAGGUCUUCGAACCGCAUGGUUUGAAGAGGAAAAGAGGCGCAAGAUUCUGCAGAGGGAUGGACCCGCUGUGCAUUAGCUAGUUGGUGAGGUAAGGGCUCACCAAGGCCGUGAUGCAUAGCCGACCUGAGGGGGUGAUCGGCCACAUUGGAACUGAGACACGGCCCAAACUCCUACGGGAGGCAGCGGUAGGGAAUCUUCCGAAAUGGACGCAAUUCUGCCGGAGCAACGCGGCGUGAGUGAAGAAGGUUUUCGGAUCGUAAAACUCUGUUGUUAGAGAAGAACAAGUGCUAGAGUAACUGUUAGCGCCUUGACGGUAUCUAACCAGAAAGCCACGGCUAACUACGUG
rnacentral:rRNA from 1 species